rnacentral:rRNA from 1 species
GUCGAACGCUGGCGGCGUGCCUAAUACAUGCAAGUCGAGCGAGCGGCGGACGGGUGAGUAACACGUAAGGAACCUUCCGAUAAGCGGGGGACAACAUCCGGAAACGGGUGCUAAUACCGCAUACUUUUCGCAGGCCUUGCGGUGCAUUAGCUCGUUGGUGGGGUAACGGCCUACCAAGUCCAUGAUGCAUAGCCGAUCUGAGAGGGUAAUCGGCCACAUUGGAACUGAGACACGGCCCAAACUCCUACGGGAGGCAGCAGUAGGGAAUCUUGCGCAAUGGGCGCAAGCCUGACGGAGCCACGCCGCGUGAGUGAAGAAGGUUUUCGGAUCGUAAAGCUCUGUUGUAAGGGAAGCGGUAUCUGACCAAAAAGCCACGGCUAACUACGUGCCAGCAGCCGCGGUAAUUC